rnacentral:rRNA from 1 species
AGUCGAGCGGCAGCGGGAAGUAGUUUACUACUUUGCCGGCGAGCGGCGGACGGGUGAGUAAUGUCUGGGAAACUGCCUGAUGGAGGGGGAUAACUACUGGAAACGGUAGCUAAUACCGCAUAACGUCUUCGGACCAAAGUGGGGGACCUUCGGGCCUCACGCCAUCGGAUGUGCCCAGAUGGGAUUAGCUAGUAGGUGGGGUAAUGGCUCACCUAGGCGACGAUCCCUAGCUGGUCUGAGAGGAUGACCAGCCACACUGGAACUGAGACACGGUCCAGACUCCUACGGGAGGCAGCAGUGGGGAAUAUUGCACAAUGGGCGCAAGCCUGAUGCAGCCAUGCCGCGUGUGUGAAGAAGGCCUUCGGGUUGUAAAGCACUUUCAGCGAGGAGGAAGGCAUAAAGGUUAAUAACCUUUGUGAUUGACGUUACUCGCAGAAGAAGCACCGGCUAACUCCGUGCCAGCAGCCGCGGUAAUACGGAGGGUGCAAGCGUUAAUCGGAAUUACUGGGCGUAAAGCGCACGCAGGCGGUUUGUUAAGUCAGAUGUGAAAUCCCCGCGCUUAACGUGGGAACUGCAUUUGAAACUGGCAAGCUAGAGUCUUGUAGAGGGGGGUAGAAUUCCAGGUGUAGCGGUGAAAUGCGUAGAGAUCUGGAGGAAUACCGGUGGCGAAGGCGGCCCCCUGGACAAAGACUGACGCUCAGGUGCGAAAGCGUGGGGAGCAAACAGGAUUAGAUACCCUGGUAGUCCACGCUGUAAACGAUGUCGACUUGGAGGUUGUGCCCUUGAGGCGUGGCUUCCGGAGCUAACGCGUUAAGUCGACCGCCUGGGGGAGUACGGCCGCAAGGUUAAAACUCAAAUGAAUUUGACGGGGGGCCCGCACAAGCGGUGGAACCAUGUGGGUUUAAUUCGAUGCAACGCGAAGAACCUUACCUACUCUUGACAUCCACAGAACUUAGCAGAGAUGCUUCGGUGCCUUCGGGAACUGUGAGACAGGUGCUGCAUGGCUGUCGUCAGCUCGUGUUGUGAAAUGUUGGGGUUAAGUCCCGCAACGAGCGCAACCCUUUAUCCUUUGUUGCCAGCACGUCAUGGUGGGGAACUCCAAAGAGAACUGCCGGUGAUAAACCGGAGGAAAAGUGGGGGAUGACAUUCAAUUCAUCCAUGGCCCCUUCUCAAUAAGGGGUUACAACCGUGGUUGCAAUGGGGGGAAUAAAAAUGGAAGGGGAACUCUCCCGAAGACAAACGGAACACAUAAAGUCUGUCGUAGUCCGGAUUGGAGUCUGCAACUCGACUCCAUGAAGUCGGAAUCGCUAGUAAUCGUAGAUCAGAAUGCUACGGUGAAUACGUUCCCGGGCCUUGUACACACCGCCCGUCACACCAUGGGAGUGGGUUGCAAAAGAAGUAGGUAGCUUAACCUUCGGGAGGGCGCUUACCACUUUGUGAUUCAUGACUGGGGUGAAAGUCGU